ACAGGGGUACAGGUACAGAGUCAAUGUGGAGGCUAUAUACAGGGGGUACAGGUACAGAGACAUUGUGGAGGCUAUAUACAGGGGGUACAGAGACAAUGUGGAGGCUAUAUACAGGGGGUACAGGUACAGAGACAAUGUGGAGGCUAUAUACAGGGGGUACAGGUACAGAGACAAUGUGGAGGCUAUAUACAGGGGGUACAGGUACAGAGACAAUGUGGAGGCUAUAUACAGGGGGUACAGGUACAGAGACAAUGUGGAGGCUAUAUACAGGGGGUACCGGUACAGAGUCAAUGUGGAGGCUAUAUACAGGGGUACAGGUACAGAGUCAAUGUGGAGGCUAUAUACAGGGGGUACAGGUACAGAGACAAUGUGGAGACUAUAUACAGGGGGUACAGGUACAGAGACAAUGUGGAGGCUAUAUACAGGGGUACAGGUACAGAGUCAAUGUGGAGGCUAUAUACAG
ensembl:lncRNA